rnacentral:rRNA from 1 species
AGGACGAACGCUGGCGGCGUGCUUAACGACAUGCAAGUCGAGCGGAAAGGCCCUUCGGGGUACUCGAGCGGCGAACGGGUGAGUAACACGUGAGUAAUCUGCCCCUAGCUCUGGGAUAGCUCCGGGAAACCGGGAUUAAUACCGGAUACGACCACUUUAGACAUCUGUUGUGGUGGAAAGAAUUUUGGCUAGGGAUGAGCUCGCGGCCUAUCAGCUUGUUGGUGGGGUAAUGGCCUACCAAGGCGACGACGGGUAGCCGGCCUGAGAGGGCGACCGGCCACACUGGGACUGAGACACGGCCCAGACUCCUACGGGAGGCAGCAGUGGGGAAUAUUGCGCAAUGGGCGAAAGCCUGACGCAGCGACGCCGCGUGGGGGAUGAAGGCCUUCGGUUGGUAAACCCCUUUCAGCAGGACGAAGCGAAAGUGACGGUACCUGCAGAAGAAGCGCCGGCUAACUACGUGCCAGCAGCCGC